GACGAACGCUGGCGGCGUGCCUAACACAUGCAAGUCAACUUGACUGAAGGAGCAAUCUGACAGUAGAGUGGCGCAAGGGUGCGUAACGCGUAAGUAACUUGCCCCAAGGUAAGGAAUAACGUCGAGAAAUCGGCGCUAAUACCUCAUAAUGCAGCGGAUCCGCAUGGAUAUGUUGUUAAAGGUUUACCGCCUUGGGAUAGGCUUGCGUCUGAUUAGUUAGUUGGUGUGGUAACGGCACACCAAGGCUACGAUCAGUAACUGGUCUGAGAGGAUGAUCAGUCACACUGGAACUGAGACACGGUCCAGACUCCUACGGGAGGCAGCAGUGAGGAAUAUUGGGCAAUGCUCGAAAGAGUGACCCAGCAACGCCGCGUGGAGGAUGAAGGUAUUCUAUAUCGUAAACUCCUGUGAGAGCAGACGAAAGACAGAUUAUAAUCUGGAUGACUGUAUGCUCAGAGGAAGCCCCGGCUAACUACGU
rnacentral:rRNA from 1 species